rnacentral:lncRNA from 1 species
CUUGAACGUGGGCUAACAUUAUUAGGGCAUAUUCAACUCGUGCUUCUCAAGUUUUAAUCAAUCAGGUUCUCCUAUUGGCUUGUCUAAACUCGCCACAUAACAGCACAUGCAAGUCUCCAGGGAUUGGAAUCCUUAGAGCUACCUGUUCUUGUAUAUAUACUACAGGCAGAGGAUUUGGCUUGGAACAGCUUCUCCCUAAACCGCAUCAGUAAAAGGCUUUCUUCUGUUGAGAAUAGUAUGGCUGCCUCUAUUGCAACCUCUAAAGCCACUUGCCAUGUUCGUUCCAUCAGCCUGCCCGCAAGACUUCAUCCUAUUACUCUAAAUGUUGAGGUGCAUUUGGAUAGAUUAAGAUCGUCGAAAG